GACGAACGCUGGCGGCGUGCCUAACACAUGCAAGUCGAGCGGGAACCCGGGGUGGGGUAACCCACCUCGGGGGAGAGCGGCGAACGGGUGAGUAACACGUGGGCAACCUGCCCCAGACACUGGGAUAACCCCGGGAAACCGGGGCUAAUACCAGAUACUCCGGACGGGUCGCAUGAUCCGGCCGGGAAAGCUCCGGCGGUCUGGGAUGGGCCCGCGGCCUAUCAGCUUGUUGGUGGGGUAACGGCCCACCAAGGCGACGACGGGUAGCUGGUCUGAG
rnacentral:rRNA from 1 species